AUACCAUCACACACCCGGUUUUGUUGCCCUAAAUUGUAUUUUGCAACUUGUAUGGGCUCUUAAUUUUGGUGAUUUUCACCUAUCAUUGAAGCUGCAUCAAAAUUUAGUUUUCUUCAAGAUCUGUUUGGUUUCAGAGAAACUGUAUCGAAACCGAAGCGAAAGAACUUUAAAGCUCGUGAGGAACGAGUGGCUGCAUCUUCUUCUGAUUGAUUUGUUUUCUACUGUUUUCUUCAAAUCUUUUUGAGGAAAACUGGACUUGUAAACCAAGGAUCUGUCUAUACUUUUGAGGUAUCUUGUGUCUGUAUCACAGGAUCUUUGUAGUGCUAUCAGAUUAUAAGAUCAGUCUUGUAGUUGAUAUUAUAUUAACUGGUGAAAGAUUAGAAGCUAUAGGAAACAUAUGAUUUCUUAUGACUUAAAGAAAUCAAUAGAUCAUACCGAUGGUUCUCUUGCAAGUUCUGCAGUUGUUGUCUCAACAUUGCCGCCUCCCUUUGCCAGAACUAGCAAGUUAAAUGCAUUUGGUAGCAGAGUUAACGUUCUUCAUUUAACAUGUUAUUCUAAAUAGAAUAGAUACAUCUUCUAAACUAUGCUAAUGACCUUAUUUUUCCCCUUUGACUUUUUCAAGAGUAUAAAAGGUAAACAACACUCGUGCACAAGGCUCCCGCAGUGGGCAAGGUCGGGGACAUACGAGAUGUGACAAGGCUCUGGGGAAUUUGUGCUUGAGCAACUCUAUGCAGCAGGUCUGAGCAUGAUAAAUUUUACUCUUGCAUGUUAACAUUUGAGAUUUACUUUUAUUUUAGUUUUUGCAUGCAAUUGUUACUUGUUUUGCAGUAGUUAGAUUUCAAACUGACUUUACUCUUAACUUUUCAAGCAGUUUGACUUAAUAUCUAUUCAAUUGAGUCUGUCAUUAUAGUGCGAAAUCCCGUUUGGUUAUGUUUAUGGAAGAGGCUUGCAACAAUAAUAUACUGGAAAAUAGCUCUUGGUCAAAACAUAUCGGAAACUUGUUUGGCAAAUUAUUUUAUGAAAACUGUUUUUUAGUGUGUAUAUUUGCUGUGAAAAAUAAGAGAACCUGGGGAAAUGUAAGAGUUUACUGUGUAGGUUGCCUUCAGGAACAAAAUUUGAGAUCUUAUUUUUGGAAAAGUAAUAGUUUAACCAAAGAUUUUGAAAGUUUUCAGAAAACAGAAAACCAUUUUCAGAAAUUGUUAGCUAAACAGGCUAAUGUGCAUGAAAAUAACUCUGUGGACUCUAUAAACUUGGAUUCAUUUUCAUUUAAUACAACUGGCGUUCAUGAUUUUGAAAACUAGAACCCAUUCCUGGUAGAAGCCUUCGGGGAAUAAUCUACUCAAUUGAACUCUAAUGAUUGGAUUGUUUUAGUUUGGCUUAUUGAAUCAGUUGGACACUUGGACUUGAAUUCAGUUUUUGACCUUGUUUGAGUAUAUGGAUGUUUUAAUGAUUACAAACGUAAUUUAUACUAAAGAAAGUAGUAACACAUCGUCUAUGUGCUCCUCCUUGAAAUGGAAAAAAUAAUUACUUCUUGAUAGUUAUACAUGUUUUGUUACUUGUCUAAUUUCCAGUUUCAAAAAUAGAUUUCUCGAAUAAGAUUGUUAUAUAAUUUCAAGAAAAAAGGUUUCCACUCUCAAGUCAUCCAGAAAAGUGGUUAGCUUAUUCUAUCCUUUAAAGCCCACAGAAAACUAGUAAGAUUUAGUUGCAUACAUAAUCUUGUGCACAGUAAGUUUCCCAAGGAUGGAUUUUCAAAUGGUAUAUUUAAGAUAAACUGUAGACAUAGAAGCAAAUGAAAGUUUCACUCUGUACUAUGUUUUUUUCCCAGAUUUCACAAGUUUGAGAGACAGGGUUUUCGUAUUGACAAAACCACUGUCCAACUAGAAACAUGUUUCCUCCUCUAAUGUGUGGCUUAGAUAAAGUGUUUUUCUAGAGGGAAUGUAACAAAAGCAAAGUCUUGCAUGUUGAUCCCUUGGUGCCAAUUUUCUAUUAUCCUCAAAUUGGCAGUCAUGUAAAUUUCUAGAGUUUCCUUAUAAUGAAAUAUGAGUUGCUCAGAAGUAAGUUGGAUAGAUGUAAAUGAAGUUUCAGUAGCCGGAGUGCUCUAAAGUAACCAUGCAUGCGCACUAAAACAGAAAACCAAGUAAUAAAAUAACAACUAAAAGAAAAAAAGGAAAUAAUUAGGGUACAAAGGAUUACCUUCAUUUCAGAGGUUGGGUUUCCCAAAUGAUGAGGUUCCUCUUUUGCUUUGUUGUACCGUUCAAUUACUGAUUUCAUGCUGCAAAUUAUAUAGAAGAAGAUAUGUCAUUCAUGAAUGUUUUAUGAAGAAGUCUUUAAAGCAGAGCAACUAGGAUAAUGAUUAGGAGAAAAAAAAAAAACUAUGUAUUUGGUGAAAGAUAUGUGCUAACUUUUAUGAUGUGGUCCUUUGUUUACUUAAGUUUAUCUGCUCCAUUUAUUCAUACAGUCAAAUUGCCUUUGCUCCAGAACUCUGUUCAUACCAUUUUAAGCAACUAAGUAGGUUGACAUCUUUCGAGAAAUUUCAAUGGCUUUAACUGGAGAACCAGCCAAAAGAUAAGUAUGGAUUUUAUAGUACAGUGGUCUAUUACUAUUUUGAAGCUAGUUCCCUUUUUUAUUCUCUUCUUCUACUCUGUCAUAUCUAUUCUUCAAAUUUUAAUUGAUAGUUCUAUUGGAAAGAGGAGAGGCAUAUAUAAUGCAUGGCAAAGUAGUUGCAUUUCGCCACAACCCAAAAGAAGAGGAGAUUUACCUACCCUUGUUUCAGAUUUCUUUCUUCUAUUAUACUUCCGCACUCUAUCUAAGGCUCUUAGCCUGAUGUAUUCUUAUGUGUAGCAUGAGUUCCUAGCUUUUGUCUUGCAUAUUUAGCUUCUUUGCUUUAAUAGAAAAUAGAGAAUAAUAGAAAGGAAAAAAGAAGAGAAAAACCUACUGGUCUCCUAUAGAAUGAUCACCUUAGGAGAAAGUUCUUAGAUCUUAUGAAAAAGGGUCAACGAGUUAUCACAAUUAAUACUUGACCUUGCAUCAUGAAGCUUCUCUUAGUUAAAUCGUAGGAAUGGAUCGAUGUCUAUUUGUGUGAUGUGAGAUUUUUGAUUGGAAAAUAGUAGAAUUUCGAGGAAUAAGACUCUUCAAAACCAUUUUCUGUACCUAUCUAAAGGAUCAAUGGUAUAUCUGGUUGCUAUGUGCAAGGGUAUGCACUACACCUAUGCAAAGUACAAGAACAUCAUUUGUAGAUGUUCAUGGUCCAAAUUGGUGAAUCAAGCAGCCAACAGUAAAUAAGAAAAAAAAAAAAUGUAAUACAUAUUUUUCUGUAUCUAGGUCCCGAGUAGUAGAAAGCACUCAAGAGGUGCUAUAUUAUUAUAUUAAUAUAAGGAAUAUGAUAGUCCUAUAUUAAUACUGCAACACACAACAGUUUCGUCUGUUGUAUUCUCCCUUGAUGGUAAAAUGUGGAGAAACAGAUCCACGAGAAGCUAGUUGAUGGCAGGUGUGUUUUGAUGCUAAAUGUUGAAGUACCUACUUGGUUGAAUGAAUUCUAGUCAUGACAGUUGCUUCUGGUCUGUUAUGUUCUUCCAUUAUUUUUAGCCGUCUUUGAUUGUUACUAGAUGUAACUGAUAGAGAAUGGUUAACUCGUGCCUAUUGUUUUUGAGAAUAGUCAUCUUCACCAAGAAGACUAGGCUAUUGGAGCAAUCGGUGGAACAAUCUCUCUUAUCUUCGUAUCUGUGCAGUUCAAGGUUAAGGGCAACCGAAGCGACAACAGCAUCAUUGUACCAAUACUUGCAAUGACAGGGGUUCCUAUGUCAAUCAUGCUACAACUUUGCAGGCGUCGAAAAUGUUACUUCGCAUCCCACCGAGUCACCACCCAAGUAAAACCCCACUUCUACACCCAUUCGCAAAUUUAUGAACCAAACAGCCCCCCAUAUUUACAGAGACUAUAUCAUUGCAACAAUUCUUUAUGGAUGUCUCCAUCCAAGGCUAUUCAUCGAACUGUCUUUGUCGUUUUAUCCCAUUGUGAAAAAACCAGCCUCUCGAGCUGCCAUGGAUAUCUCUUGCUCAAGUUGAAUGUUUUCGAUCUUACCGUUCACCUUGUGGGAGUGUGAAAAGUAAUCCCGAGAUUUCUCAUGAAAUGACGACGUUUGGAACUUUCUGCGAUCGUCAAAGCUCUUCGAGUUACAGCUCGAUUAGAUGCUGGAGGCCAAUUUUUAUGUCGGAUUCUUCUAAUGCUAUCCAUCUCCAUCAUAGAUUGGGCAGUUAGAUUUACUCAUAUCAAGAGAGAAAGGAAGCAAGUGGUCGAUACUAAACUUAAAAAGGCGCAUUAGGGAAGAAGUUUUCGUUGUAUAGAAGUAACUUCUUGUUUAUUUAGUUUUAUAUCGAUGACACUUCUAUCUUCAAUUCCUUGUUUGAAAGGGUUAAGACAAGCUUUCUAGUUGUCCUCCGUUCUUGCAUGUUUUCUUGAUGAGUACUAUUUACACCCAUUUUUUACUGAGUAUACUCCUUUUUGUGUUUCCCUUCCUCUAUAGUGGUCUGAUAGAACCCUAAAAAAUUGUUAACUAGCAAUCCCUGUCCACAGUGGUGCUAGAAUGUGAUAGCCAUAGAAGGAUCCACUAGAGCAACAGCAGUUGUGGAGCCACAGUAGGUAGUGUUGCUGGGUUAUAGAGAAAUUCCACGCCAUCGUUAACACUCCCAGAACUGCACCACUAGCAUUCCAAGCCAUGAAAUGAAGGAACAGAAAGAGGCACAGGCUUAUCAAUCAAGUUUUCAUGGAUAAAACGUCCCUAUGUGCCAUCCAGAUGCUUACUGCCACUUCUUGCAAUGCUUUUCAAGAAGAGGAUUAGCCAAUGGCAUGUGAUGGUUCUAGUGGUGCUCUGCCCAUCCAGCCAAAGGAUGCUGAUAGUGAUGACCUUCCUGUAGUCAGAUUUUCUCCGGCCGAUACCUUGCCAGUUCCAUUAAAGAGAGGGAGGUGAGAAGGAUUUUUUGGUUUGGGUUUGGAAAGAGAGAAGGAUUUGGGUUUGAGAAUGGCAGGGUCAAUGGGGUGUGGAAAGAUCAUGCUCUUUUGGAGGGUUAAUGAGAUGUACU